UGGGGCAAAAUAAUGACCGACCACAUGUAUAUAUUGUAAGUUCAACUAUCACAAAGCCGCUCUUUUCGCUCGAAAUUUAUCACUCCUAUUUAACCUAUUAGGUACUGAUUAAUUAUUAGUACAAUCAUCCGGCACCACCACCAUAAUUAAAUGCAGGGGUGAACCGCCACAUAAAAGUACGUGUUCGGUGCUAUUAAUUCUAUUGGAUAGCUAGUAUUUUGGUGUCUAUAUGCCUAAAGGUAACAGUUAACACUUAAAUAUAUACUAGAUAUCUCUUAGCUUAAAAGUAUGUAACAUUGCGUCAGAAGUUUGCAUUGAAGUUUAUCGAACAACUUUUUCACCAAGAUGAACACUCGCCAUUCACUAUCCAUCACCGAAUGAAUUUAUUUAAAACCACCAAAUAAGACAGACAUAAUAAAUAUUGUAAAUUGGUUUCCUGGUUUUUUACAUUUGCUGGGAAAACUGUAAACUGAGAAAAUUAAAAAAAUGAUCUCCCUCAAGUACCACCCCAAGAAAAUUUCUUUUCAGAAAAGAGGCUACAUCGUAUUCAUCGAAGUUUUUGGUAGAAAAAGUGUUCACAUAAAAAAAAAAAUAUUAAACAUCUUUGUAAAAUCAAUACAUUCAUCGUUAAAUUUAGUAUCUAAAAACCGGUAUGUGUUAAGGGCGCCAAACACGGUCAGU